AUUGCUAGACAGACUGCUAGACAAUGACUUCCAUAGUAUUUUUUCCUGCCGAUUUCUAGCAUUAUUCAGAAUACAUAUUUUUGUUUAACAGAGGUAAUAAAUGUAUAAAUGUUCAAUAAAUAAAUGGUGACAAAAGUUUUCUCUUGCUAGGAACUAUCCCUUUAAGUGUCGUGCGCACGGGACUUUUAUUGUGAAGGCGCAGCGCUGCUGUGUUUCCGUGUUUAGUCAGCGUCGAUCAUCUGACGGCUUUAGUUCCUUUAAACGGAGUUUUGGAGUAUUUUUUGGGAGUAUUUAAUCUGUUGAAGGGAGAGUUUAGGGUCCAGACAUAAAGUCAACAGUGUUCUGCUGUUUAAAGCGUACAAUUCUUCACAUUAUGGGGCAGUUUCUUGUGUUUUGGUCGACCUUCCUGCUGAUGUGCGCGCGUUCAGUUUUUCUGAAUCAGAAUCAACAACAACACAACAACCUACAACUGCUCCACCUGUGUGCAAACUGGAAGUAAAAUAUGACCUGAAAGAAAAUAUUGGAGCUGGCUGCUACGGCAAUGUCUAUCGUGGUAUCAGAAAAGUGGACGGCAAACAGUUUAUCAUCAAGUCGACUUUUUCAGAAGUUGACAGCAAUGUGCCUGGAUAUCCGUUACCCAUACCAAUCGAAGUGGCCAUGAUGACAAUUGCGAGAGAUCCCCCCAGCCCGCUGCUCAUCAAGCUCCAGGAAUGGUUUUUAGUUAAAGUGGAGAAAUUGCCAAGAGGAAAAAGCUUGUGGGUUAAUGAUAUGCCGGUGCGAAAGUGUGUAAGACAAUAAUGUUGGUGAUGGAGUAUCUCGGCCCGUGCAGAACACUGGAGGAUUUCCUGCAGAAGCACCAACACCUGGAGGAGAAAGUCGCGCGUACGCUUAUCCUGCAGAUUGUCAAAGCAGCGCAGGAGUGCUUGAGGCGGAAAAUUUGUCAUCAUGAUAUUCAUAACUAAAUAACAUAAUAAUCAUUACAAUUAACCUGUAUCUCUUUUUUUAGGCAUGUAUACAAGGCGAUAUGCAUGUGAACAUACACGUGAAGGGAAAUAAUAACACGUGGAGACAACUAAAUACAGUAUAUAUCACACAACAGCAAAAUAAACUCUUGUUUUUUCUACAAACUGUGUUUGUUCGUCAUUUAACAUUAAAUUCAGAGUGUUUACAAAGUAAUUAAACUCACCA